ACGAACAAGUAUUUCUCUAAAUAAGUCUGCCCUUUGUAUAAAUAUAAUCCAGUGAAUAUAAAUUUUUGGAUUUGUGAUUAUUGUUGUGAAUUUAAAGCCAUUUUAAUUUAACGGCGUGUAAUUUUGAUUAAUAAGUGAAGAGAGUUCCUGGGAUCAAGUUCGGCUGCUAAGGAUGGAUCACGACAGACUCUUCAACAUUCUCGAAAUUGUAACAAACGUUGCGACGGUUUUAUGCAAGAUAACUGGUAUAGCUAUAGUGUAUCGUAUGGGUCUGCGUCUGAAUGUAGUUUUAGUUCGGAUUGCAUGUAGAGACUUCGACGCAACUGAGAUGGAAAAUGUGACUAUCUGGUAGACAAUGACAGAAGAAACAGGUCAGUACGCAUUUUUAUUUUCUUUAAAACCCAAGAAAGGUGGAGUUUAAAACCAGAGAAGGAAUUUUAGUUUAAAUAUUCC